GGCUCUAGAAACACUAGAGAUGAUUAUUUCAACAGUGUAAUACAGCCACAAAUAUCAUCAACAUCUUCCAUGGCAGUGCCAGUUUAUCCAUCUUGAUUCGGGCUGUUCUCUGUAAACUUAUUUUGGCCGCUACAAGACACUGGGAUUCUGCAUAGUUGCUUACUUUCUGGUCUCCAUCUCUACUUUUAAACUAUAUAACCCUCUACGCAUUAAUUAAUGGC
rnacentral:sRNA from 1 species